rnacentral:tRNA from 1 species
GAUUAAAUGGCUGAAUAAUAGGCGAUAAAUUGUAAAUUUAUAUAUGAGAAAGUUCUCUUUAAUUA